rnacentral:rRNA from 1 species
GGUCUCCGUAGGUGAACCUGCGGAGGGAUCAUUACACAAAUAUGAAGGCGGGCUGGAACCUCUCGGGGUUACAGCCUUGCUGAAUUAUUCACCCUUGUCUUUUGCGUACUUCUUGUUUCCUUGGUGGGUUCGCCCACCACUAGGACAAACAUAAACCUUUUGUAAUUGCAAUCAGCGUCAGUAACAAAUUAAUAAUUACAACUUUCAACAACGGAUCUCUUGGUUCUGGCAUCGAUGAAGAACGCAGCGAAAUGCGAUAAGUAGUGUGAAUUGCAGAAUUCAGUGAAUCAUCGAAUCUUUGAACGCACAUUGCGCCCUUUGGUAUUCCAAAGGGCAUGCCUGUUCGAGCGUCAUUUGUACCCUCAAGCUUUGCUUGGUGUUGGGCGUCAUGUCUCUAGCUUUGCUGGAGACUCGCCUUAAAGUAAUUGGCAGCCGGCCUACUGGUUUCGGAGCGCAGCACAAGUCGCACUCUCUAUCAGCAAAGGUCUAGCAUCCAUUAAGCCUUUUUUUCAACUUUUGACCUCGGAUCAGGUAGGGAUACCCGCUGAACUUAAGCA